GAGUCGGCCGGGUGACCGCGGUGCCGCAAGGCGUCGAGGAAAGUCCGGACUCCGUAGGGCAGGGUGGUCGGCAACACCGACCCGGAGCGAUCCGCGGGACAGUGCCACAGAGAACAGACCGCCAGCGCGUCACCGAGAGGUGCGCUGCUGGUAAGGGUGAAACGGCGGUGCAAGAGACCACCGGCAGCCCAGGCGACUGGGCUGGCCAGGCAAACCCCACCCGGAGCAAGACCAAAUAGCCAGCAUUCGAGGGCUGCCCGCCCGAGCUGGCUGGUAGGUCGCACGGCCACGGCCGAAGGGUGCUGGCAACAGCACUCGCAGAUGGAUGGUCACCGGCCCCGCAAGGGGUCACAAAAUCCGGCUUACAGGCCGACUCGUC
rnacentral:RNase_P_RNA from 1 species